AAAAAACAUAAUAUAGCAUUCGUUCUGUUCUUUCGUUAAUUGAAAUUUGAAUUUUAUGGAAUGGGAAUUGAAAUAUCAAAUUUUACGAUGAGGAAUUCAUUUGUUUUUAUUAGAUAAUUUAUACCUAAUUUUAUUUCCUAGACAUCAAGGUUAUGUUAUACCCUAUCCGUGCACAGGAAUUGAAAUCCCUUCCACCCCCUACAACUUGUUAUAAACUUUCCUAAAAAGACUUCACAGUGUAUAAUAAGUGAUUAAAAUGAAAUUGUGGAUGUUCUGUGAUGUGCAAAAGAAAAAGACGGUGGAUACUAAAACUAGCCAUACUAGAUCGUAUAACCCUGGUUUAUACUGUUAUUAAUAAUAAAAUUGGUGGGAAUAUAAAAGAAAGUCAACAUUUUAAGAAGAGAAUGAUCGGGGAGCAAGAUAUAUUGUCCUAAUGCUUUGGCAGUGAAGAAUAUCAUCCUAUCAUUCAACAGUGCAAAAGGGACUAUUUACUGUAUUAAGGGAAAAUUAAGUAUGGCGAAAUGCAAAGGAAAUGUAUUAUAUAGCCCCUAUACAUGCAAACCAUUUUAUUUAACAAACAACACAAGAUGUUACUAAUUCUCAAUCAAUAGUGCCAUGCUGUAGAUGUAUACAAUAAUUGACACAGAAAACUAAAAUAUUAUAAUGGAAAAUAUUUUAAUAAUGGAAAAACCCUUAUGAAUCUGAUUAAAUUUACUGAUAGAAAAUGAAUAUCAAAGUUGUUGCUUAUAUUGAAAUAAAUUUGAUUAUAUUUACAGCAUUCAGGAAAGUGAGGAAUCAUAUUAACAACAUAUGAAUUUAGAAUGAAACCAAAGAACUUUAUAGUCCUUUUUAUGGAUAUUAACAUUUCAAUUAUGAUGCAAAAUGGAGUAUAAUAUCCAUAUUUGCAAUUCAUCAUCAUCAUCAGCCACAGUCCAUGCCAUGUCCACUCCUGAACAUGGGCCUCCCUCAAAGAUUUCCAGCUCUAUUGGAAGUAGCCACAUCCAGUGGUGUCCUGCGACUGUUUAUGAGGUCAUCUGUUCUCGUGGGUGGACGUCCGACGCCGCGCUUGCCAGUUCGUGGCCACGCCAGAAUCUUCUUGCUCCAAAGGCUAUCAGUUCAUGGUUCGAGAUUAUACAACUUUAAAAUUUAAUUGUAGUUCAAAAUAGUCUCAAGACGAAAGUCUUUGACUAGUGUGUGUUGCCAGUGAUAACAUAUGGAAGUGAGACAUGGUCGCUCACUAUGGGCCUUAUCAGAAGGCUGAAAGUCACGCAAAGGGCAAUGGAGAGGACUAUGCUCGGAAUUUCCUUGCGGGAUCGAAUCAGAAAUGAGGUGAUCCGCAGGAGAACCAAAGAUACCGACAUAGCCCUCAGAGUUACGAAACGCAAGUGGCUGUGGGCAGUGCACAUAGCUCGUAGAACUGAUGGCCGUAGUGGCGACUACGAACCGGGAGACGCAGCGUAGGCCCCCACCUGAUGGAUCCACUGGACCCACGUUCUGGUGAGGGUCGCCGGAGUCCGAUGGAUGAGGGCGGCUCGGAACCGGUCCCUGUGGCGCUCCAUGGGGGAAGUCUAUGUCCAGCAGUUGACGAUUCCCGGCUGAAAUGAUGAUUCCAAAAUAGAUAUCUCAAGUGUGCAGCUAUUCCCAUAGUCUCUGGAGAAUGUAAAUAAAACACGAGAGUAUGUGUUGUUCCAUUGUGAUUGGUCGAGAGACUGACACGUGACUCGCGGCUCUCUCGGCCAAUCACAAUCGUUAAAACCAAACGACGCGCACAUUCGCUUCCUAUUAUGCGACAUUCUACUGCAAAUGAUUUUUCUAUGUUUGCUUAAUAAUUCUAAAUGUAGUAUUAUAAUAUUUUGUUGAACGUAAGACAAUAGGAGUAACUAGUUAGUGGCAUAUUGUAUCACAUUUCUUUUAUGAAUUUGUUAAAAAUAAUAAAUCAUUUUUUAGAAUUAAGUAUAUCUUAGUUUUUUCUACUUUUAAUCGUAAGAAGUGGUAUUAGUUUCAUGUCACUAUGGGAAUCUUUAUUAUUCUUAUAUUUAUACAUUUGAUAAACCAUUUUUUGUGUGUUUUGCAUAUAUGUGAACACUACGAGUCGAUUUUGUAUGUUUACUUCGAUAAAAUCUAAGGAAACUCGAUUAAAAAUGUGAAUAAAGCUAAGAAAUGUGGUUCACAUAAAAAACAAUACUACGUCUCAAAUUUGUAUAUUUUGAUAAAGUGUAUGAAAAUCCGAUCAAAAUUUCGAAUAAAGCUAGGGAGUAGCAAGAUUUAUGUUAUUUUUUACAAUUUGUAUUUUAAUUAUUAAUCCAGUUUCUCCACUUUACCCCCAAACAAAAUAUUGUAUCAGGAAAAAAAGCAAUUUAGAUAUGGAAGUUGAACCAAAAGUUUAUUAUUAUUAUUAAGGCGAAAUAAUACCAAAAAUCAAUCAUAAAACAUUUAUUUAAAACUUAAUACAAACAUCAGCUAAUUUGGAAUGACAAGCAUACAAUACUAGCUUAGUAUACAUUGUCCCACUGCUGGGCACGGGUCUCUACUGAGAUUUCUGUUAGUCCACCACGCUGGGCCAGUAUGUGUUAGCAUACAGACAUAUCUAACAAUAAAAUGUAUAGCAGCUGAAAUGCAAAAGAAAUCAAUCCUUUGCUAUCUACUUCUUGAACGAAAGUAAUUAACAUGUUACAUUAAGUUUAACUAAUAAGUCCUGCUCCUUGAAGAAGCAGCUCAGUAGGCAUGAUUAUGUCGUUUGGCAUGAGAUCAGCCCCGGAUCUAGAGGGGGGCAAGCCGGGGCCCAUGCCCCGGGCGGCCAAUUCAAACUAAAAUAAACACAAAUUAUUUUCCGCGGGGCGCGAAAUGCUGAUGAUGAUGAAAAAAGUAAAAAUAUAGGUCGGGGCGGCAUUAUCUAGAUUUUGCCCCGCCUCCAAAAAUCGAGAGCCGGGACUGGCCAAAAUCCCCAUAUCACUGCCUGACUCUGGACCUAA